GAGUGUGAAGAUGUUAGUUUUGCAAAAACUAUUUAGAAUUUUUUUAUGAAUUCCAUACUUU
rnacentral:tRNA from 1 species